CCUACGGGAGGCAGCAGUGGGGAAUAUUGGACAAUGGGCGCAAGCCUGAUCCAGCCAUGCCGCGUGAGUGAUGAAGGCCCUAGGGUUGUAAAGCUCUUUUGUGCGGGAAGAUAAUGACGGUACCGCAGGAAUAAGCCCCGGCUAACUUCGUGCCAGCAGCCGCGGUAAUACGAAGGGGGCUAGCGUUGCUCGGAAUCACUGGGCGUAAAGGGUGCGUAGGCGGGUCUUUAAGUCAGGGGUGAAAUCCUGGAGCUCAACUCCAGAACUGCCUUUGAUACUGAAGAUCUUGAGUUCGGGAGAGGUGAGUGGAACUGCGAGUGUAGAGGUGAAAUUCGUAGAUAUUCGCAAGAACACCAGUGGCGAAGGCGGCUCACUGGCCCGAUACUGACGCUGAGGCACGAAAGCGUGGGGAGCAAACAGGAUUAGAUACCCUGGUAGUCCACGCUGUAAACGAUGAGUGCUAGACGUCGGGGAGCUUGCUCUUCGGUGUCGCCGCUAACGCAUUAAGCACUCCGCCUGGGGAGUACGGUCGCAAGAUUAAAACUCAAAGGAAUUGACGG
rnacentral:rRNA from 1 species